AUUGAACGCUGGCGGCAGGCCUAACACAUGCAAGUCGAGCGAGCGGCGGACGGGUGAGUAAUGUCUGGGAAGCUGUCCGAUGGAGGGGGAUAACUACUGGAAACGGUAGCUAAUACAGCAUACCAUCAGAUGUGCCCAGAUGGGAUUAGCUGGUAGGUGGGGUAAAGGCUCACCUAGGCGACGAUCCCUAGCUGGUCUGAGAGGAUGACCAGCCACACUGGAAAUGAGACACGGUCCAGACUCCUACGGGAGGCAGCAGUGGGGAAUAUUGCACAAUGGGCGCAAGCCUGAUACAGCCAUGCCGCGUGUAUGAAGAAGGCCUUCGGGUUGUAAAGUACUUUCAGCGGGGAGGCGUUACCCGCAGAAGAAGCACCGGCUAACUCCGGGCCAGCAGCCGCGGUAAUUC
rnacentral:rRNA from 1 species